rnacentral:rRNA from 1 species
UGAGGAAUAUUGGACAAUGGGUGAGAGCCUGAUCCAGCCAUCCCGCGUGAAGGACGACUGCCCUAUGGGUUGUAAACUUCUUUUAUACUGGGAUAAACCUACCCUCGUGAGGGUAGCUGAAGGUACAGUAUGAAUAAGCACCGGCUAACUCCGUGCCAGCAGCCGCGGUAAUACGGAGGGUGCAAGCGUUAUCCGGAUUUAUUGGGGUUUAAAGGGGAUCCGUAGGCGGGCUCGUAAGUCAGUGGUNAAAUCUCAUAGCUUAACUAUGAAACUGCCAUUGAUACUGCGGGGUCUUGAGUAAAGUAGAAGUGGCUGGAAUAAGUAGUGUAGCGGUGAAAUGCAUAGAUAUUACUUAGAA